CAGAUCCGAGGCCGAUUCGCUCGGAAUCAACCGACGGAAUCCAAUGGCGGAUGGACGUCGGCCACAAGCGAUCGCGAGGCUCGAAACGAGAUUGCGGAGGAAAGAAUCCAGCAGAACUAAGAAAAACCAGAGAGAGAGAGAGAGACCUGAUUGGAAGGAUCGGAG